ensembl:lncRNA
UGAUGUUCGCAGGUGGUAUGCGGCAUGUCGUAAAUGCCAGCCAGCCCAAAAACACCACUGUACCAUCUUCCAUUUGAAAGGAUGGACCUCGUCAGACACCCACACAGAGCGACCGAGAGAGAGAGAGAGAGAGAGACACACACAAAGAGUGAGACAGAGAGAGAGAGACACAGAAAGAGAGAGACGCACACAAAGAGCGAGACAGAGAGAGAGAGGCAUACACAAAGAGAAACAGAGAGAGACACAGCGAGAGACACACACACAAAGAGUCAGACUGAGUGAGAGACACAGAGAGAGACACACACACAAACACAAAGAGUGAGACUGCGAGAGAGAGAGACACACACACAAACACAAAGAGUGAGACUGCGAGAGAGAGAGGCACACACACAAAGAGUGAGACUGAGAGAGAGACAGAGAGAGACACACACACAAACACAAAGAGUGAGACCGCGAGAGAGAGGCACACACACAAAGAGUGAGACUGAGAGAGAGACACAGAGAGAGACACACACACACAAACACAAAGAGUGAGACCGCGAGAGAGAGGCACACACACAAAGAGUGAGACUGAGAGAGAGACACAGAGAGAGACACACACACACACACAUAGAGAGAGACUGAGACAGAGAGAGAGAGACAGAGAGUUAAUCACGAAUGGUUCUUAUAAUCUCUUGUCUAUAUGAAGCCGUUAUCGAGUCUUCUCCGGACGCAGUGCGGAGCGCUGCGUGUGUAAACUCGUGUCCAACCGCAGCUGUUGGUCUCGUAACUCAUUAGCGCAGCUUCUAAACGAGCUGUUAUACAUGGUCUCAGAGUUCUGAGCACGCGCCUGUGUUGGAGAAGGUAAUUAACUGCGUUUUACCCGUGCGUGUAAGACUAGCACCAGGAGCGACAGUGACGAUGUGAUGAUCUCUGGCUCUGUGAGGAGGCGUGAUGACUCAGCUGUUCACGCUCUGUGUGUGUGUGUGUGCUGUGAGUGCUGUGUGAAGGUUAACCACGAAGACCAAGCGCUGCAGGGAUUCUGAAUCCGCCGCAGGUUUCCCAGGUUUCCGAUGCGGCUGCUGAACGCGGCAGGGGGUCGUGCUGGAGUUUCUGCUGGACUCGGAGCGGUGUCAGGGUUACCAAGCGCUCUCUUUCUUCACAGUCUGCGUCGUUUCUUUGUUUUUGUCUUGUUUUCUCUUCGGCUCUGACCUAGUAAAGAUUUGUGUGUGUAAAAAAAAAAAAAAAAAAAAAAAAACGUGAAAAUUUCAUAAUAAAAGUACAUGUUUAUUUAGUAACAGGGUUUCUGAACAAUUGCAGGUGCAAAGUUUCCGGGGGUAACUGUUAGUCUGUAGUCUGUAGUUGUUGUUUAUUUGUUAUAUAUAUAUAUAUAUAUGUAUAUAUAUGUAUUGUUAAUCAGUCCCUCCAGGAUGUAGCGAUUUUUGCGAUCGCCGAAAUGAACACAAAAUCAAGCGAAUGCAACAACACGCUUGCGAUUUCUCAAAAUUUCCGUGGACUUUCCGCAGAUUCGGGCCAAAAUGCGCCAUGUGACGUCAUCACAACACGCGUUCAUCCCAAGCCCUUUUCGGAAUACAGCUAAACAAGAAUACAGCUAAAAGCUCUCGUUUACCGACGAGCAUCGAGGGGUUUUAAAUUAAAUUUUAAAUUUUAAAAUUUUUCUCCGAAAAGCGCAACAAAAUCGGACGUUUCUUUCGGCCGCAAGGAUCAGAGAGGAACAAUUUCCUAGGACUGCUCCUAAUAGGAAGCACCGUGUUUUUGCAAACAUUAAAUGUAACUGCAAACGGAUAAAAAGUCGUACUCGUUGACAAAUGGCGGCGGUGUUAUAAGACGAAUAACACACUACACGACAUGCUUUUAUUGGAAAUAAUCAACUUCAGGGUGUUAACAAUGACACAACUUCAUCCGUGAUUAUUUUCCUAUAACAGCACAACCCCAAGCACGUUGCUCGUAACUGAGGUGAAUUCCAAUCGUACUGUAAGGAGAUAUUGAUAAAUGUGUGUGUGUGUGUGGGUGUGUGGAGUGUUAGGUUUUUGUCGCACAAGUUUUUAUCGGUAUUUUUGAUUCAGAUGAAUUUCCUCGACGAAGCCGUAGUGCUGACCGAAAGCAUUCGGGUUACGCGCUGCUGUUGUCAGCGGCGUGAAAGAGAUUAAUCACGGCGCUUUGUUUCUUUUCGUUAUCCCAGUCAGCGAACCGACUCGCGCUGACGUGGCCGUGUCUGAUUGCUCGGACGCGUCCAGAGGACCUGACGCUGCGUUUUUGGGCUUCCGUUAUUACGCGGUCGCAGAAGUAAGACGACUAAAAGAAUGGAGCGCUUCCUGUCGAACGCAUUUGUAAAUAUUAUAUUUGACAACAUUUGACACCAAUAAAAUACAAAUGUAAAAAAAAAAAAAAAAAAAAACAUAAUUAUUUCUCUCUCAUUCUUUGUUCUGUCUUUGAACCAGAAAGGAAAAUAUAUAUAUAAAUAAAUAAAUAGUAUACACACACACACACACACACACACACAUCCACCUGUCUUUCUCUUUUCCUUCCUCGCUAUUUCACACCUUUGGAAGUGCAGGGAUUAUUUAUAGUAUCCUUUAAAUGCGCCACCUGAAGUCAACGAGAGUGAAAUUCCCAAUCCGGUACUACAGUGAGAAUGAAAGAGUGCACACGUAGCUGUCCUGCUAGAACACACCACACUAAAGGCUUUAACGGCGUAUUUACACCCUGUGUUCAAUCUCACGAUCUCAUUACGUCCUCCGGUGUUUCCGAUCUCAGGACAUUUUUAUCGGUACCCCCACACACACACACACACACAAGGCGUGGCCGAACACGAAUACAGAGCGAUCCACGCUCGUUAUAUCGUGUUUCCUGGAGACAAUGUGCAAAUGUAUGAGACUUUUCAUUGACGAUUAUUUCGAUACUUUGUAAAUCCCUCUCACAAACGCAUGACAGCUUGUUUAUGGUGAUUAGGCGUCUAUGCUUAGCGUUGUUAUGACUUCGUUCACAUUAGAAGUUUUACGUAUACACACACACACACACACACACACACACACACACACACAAAAAAAAAAAAGCCUCCUUCAUAUGUUCUUUGUGUUCGGGUAUACUUUUCGGGAAUUUAGGCAGGACCCAACAGCAGAGGGUUUUCCUGACAGAUCCAGUGGACUGUUAUUUUGGAUGAGUGUGUGUAUUAAAGGGGUAAGUGUGUGUCCCUACACUGUGUCCCUACACUGUGUCCCUACAUUGUGUCCCUACACUGUGUCCCUUCACUGUGUCCCUACACUGUGUCCCUUCACUGUGUCCCUUCACUGUGUCCCUACACUGUGUCCCUUCACUGUGUCCCUUCACUGUGUCCCUUCACUGUGUCCCUACACUGUGUCCCU